GCUCCCCUCGAGUGCUUUCCCAACCUGACACCAAAUCUGCAUUUUAGGACAGUUUCCUUUAAGUCACCCCGGAGCCCGUAGUUCCAGAAGCCCGAGGGGCCCGGGCUGGACCCAGAGGGAAGGGAGGGAUCUCCCUCGGGAGCCUUCUAGGCCUGCCACGGAAUAAGGGUGAAAUGGAACAAAAUUCCAUCCAGCUCCCAGCAAAUCCGACUGGAACGGAUGGUUUCCAGUACGAGCCAUGAGGUAAAAAGUCUCAGAUUCCACGUGCAAUAAACAGCCCGGAUGUCUGAAAAUGUGACUCUGCCUAUUGGGAAAAGAAUGUCAAAAAGGGCCUUUCACAUCAGCUAUCUCAGUCCCCUGUUGUAUCAGUGCAAGAUGAGGUUCAACAAUUUGCUGAAGGUUUUGCAGCUGCUAGGAACUUCAUGUCCAAAGAUUUGUCCUACAGAAAGUCAUCCGGAGAUAUAUAUAGUAUAGAUGGAGUGUAUGUUUACGUGUAUAUAUGAAGUGUAUAUGUGGAAUAUAUAUGCACAUUUGCUGCAGCAUAAUAGUGAAAUUUGGAAAUCAGUCAUUCUCAUCAGCAAGGGAUUGAACAGGAUUGAUGGCCAUAUAAGAAGAGGAAGAGAUCUCUCUCCCUGUCUCCACGGCACCAAGGAAAAGCCGUGUGAACACACAGCAAGAAGGCAGCCGUCUGCAGUCCUAGAAGAGAGCUCUCACCAGAGCCCAACUGUGCUGGCAACCCCAUCCCGGACUCCAGCCUCCAGACUGGGCUUCCCUGGUGGUGCAGUGGUUAAGAAUCCGC